ACUGCUCAGUAACACGUGGACAAUCUGCCCUGAAGUGGAGGAUAAUCCCGGGAAACUGGGGGUAAUACUCCAUAGUUCGUGAUGACUGGAAUGUUUUGCGAACGAAAGAUCCGUCGCUUCAGGAUGAGUCUGCGGCCGAUUAGGUAGUUGUUGGGGUAACGGCCCAACAAGCCUGUCAUCGGUACGGGUUGUGGGAGCAAGAGCCCGGAGAUGGAUUCUGAGACACGAAUCCAGGCCCUACGGGGCGCAGCAGGCGCGAAAACUUUACCAUGCGGGCAACCGUGAUAAGGAAACCCCGGGUGCCAGCACAGGCUGGCUGUCCGCCAGUGUAAAUAACUGGUGAAGAAAGGGCCGGGCAAGACCGGUGCCAGCCGCCGCGGUAAUACCGGCGGCUCGAGUGGUGGCCACUAUUACUGGGCUUAAAGGGUCCGUAGCUUGAUGUACAAGUCUCUUGAGAAAUCCGCCGGCUUAACCGGUGGGCGUUCAGGGGAAACUGUAUUUCUAGGGACCGGGAGAGGUGAGAGGUACUGCCGGGGUAGGAGUGAAAUCCUGUAAUCCCGGUGGGACCACCUAUGGCGAAGGCAUCUCACCAGAACGGGUCCGACAGUGAGGGACGAAAGCUGGGGGAGCAAACCGGAUUAGAUACCCGGGUAGUCCCAGCUGUAAACGAUGCGCGUUAGGUGUGUCAGUGACCACGUGUCACUGAGGUGCCGAAGGGAAACCGUGAAACGCGCCGCCUGGGGAGUACGGUCGCAAGGCUGAAACUUAAAGGAAUUGGCGGGGGAGCAC
rnacentral:rRNA from 1 species